rnacentral:rRNA from 1 species
CCUACGGGAGGCAGCAGUGGGGAAUAUUGCACAAUGGGGGAAACCCUGAUGCAGCGACGCCGCGUGAGUGAAGAAGUAUUUCGGUAUGUAAAGCUCUAUCAGCAGGGAAGAAGCAAGACGGUACCUGACUAAGAAGCCCCGGCUAACUACGUGCCAGCAGCCGCGGUAAUACGUAGGGGGCGAGCGUUAUCCGGAUUUACUGGGUGUAAAGGGAGCGUAGGCGGUAUGGACAGGCUGAAGGGAAAGCCCAGGGCUUAACCCUGGGACUGCUGUGGAAACUGUUCGACUGGAGUGCUGGAGAGGUAAGUGGAAUUCCUGGUGUAGCGGUGAAAUGCGUAGAUAUUAGGAGGAACCCCAGUGGCGAAGGCGGCUUACUGGACAGUAACUGACGUUGAGGCUCGAAAGCGUGGGGAGCAAACAGGAUUAGAUACCCCAGUAGUC